CUAAAAUUCUCAGCAGUUGGUGUCCCGGUUCUGCAGCCAAGUGGGCUGGACUAUCAUGCCUCAAGGACGCGGUCCAGACCUUCGUGUGGGGACCCAGCAGUGAGCAUGCUGGAAAUGCCCAGUGAACUUGUUGAUAAAUGAUUCAAUUAUGAACUUAAUUCCCAGCAUGGGUUCUGGGCCAGUCAGGGCUGCAUAUGACACCCUCUUGUCACUGCCUGAUGAUGGUUUUCCAGGGGCUCUGUCUGCCUUAGCUGAGGAAAAACUUGAUGUAGUGGCCUUGCCAGGCCCAGCAGAUCAUGUUUUUGGGGCCUGGGAGACUUUGGCCCCCUCGUAUGGCCCCUCUCCUGUCCUCCCUGGGCUCUUGUGUGUGUCUUUCCCAGCAGGCACCCGGCCAAGUGCAUUCAGCUCAGCGAUGGGGCAGGGCUGUAUGGAGAUUUAUGUGCUGAAUUUAAUAACAUUUCUCCCUUCUCAGGGCGACAGAGGAAACCAGUAUCCCCAAGGUGGAGGUGUCCCCUUCCCCUGGGAGCCCUGCCUCCUCACAGGCUGCCAUGCUUUGUUGUCCCUGUGACUCACCAAGUGUGUGCAGAGGAUGGAGGGUGGGCAGGGGCUGGGAGGGGCUGGAGAAGAGGCCGGUCUUGCUUCUGACACUCGAACUCCUCAGAAUUGCCACCCGCCCUGUGUGUCAGCACUGAGAGGGCAUUUUAGAGAUGGACAGAGGCCUGGCCUUUUCCAUUUUUUGAGUACCUUGAAUAUUUGAAAAAAGAAGAAAAAUGCCAGAAUUGGUACAAAAAAUUGUAGGUGGUAUAUUCUAUUUAGAUGCUUAAUAAAAAAAUGCUUCUAAACACUUAUAAAAAUACAAUGGCUAGGAGGACCCUCAUUUGGAGAGAAUGAUUCCAUAGAUCCAUAGACCAUAGAUUCACAGUCUAUGAUUUGAGGUUGUUUGUGGAUGAGAUUCAGAACGCGUGGCUCUCCUGGUCCUCUGCUCCCCUUCACCUCCGUGUUAGAUAUGGGUGCCUUUGGCGGGGCAGUGUGGGGGGUCUCCUGCUGGAGGGCUCAGGGCCCCACUCUUCUACGGGACAAAAGCCUUCAGAUCAACCUUAUGCCCCUGGGGAGAGGAGUGGUGCCCUCAGGCUGGCCUGGCCUGGGCAGGGAGGGUCUCCUUGCUGGGCUGGGGUGAACAGCAGGUGGAGGGACACAACCUGAGUCAUCCGUGGGACACGAUGCCCCCUUCUCCUGAUGUCCUCUUCCUCCAGCCAGGGGCUCAUCACUGGGGUAUCUGGGUUACCUUGGUUACGACAUGGGAAAAGGAAAUUUUGCGAAUGGCUUCUCCUUGGGUGCUUUCAGACUUAAGAAAUAGCUCCAUCAUUUGUGGCCAGCUUUCUGCUGGUUUCCUUCUGUGAUGAUAGCAGCCGCCAGUUCGCCUCAUGACAUGCCUACAUCAGCCAGGCAUUGUGUUAAGAGCUGAAAAUACAGCACGCUGGCUGUCCUGGGGGCAGGGGAGCUGACCGUUGACUUGGGAGAAAGGCACAAGUGUGUGAGUCACCUCCAUAUAAUGAAGUGAGCACUCUUCUUGGAUUAUGACAGAACCAUAGAGGAGAGCCGCCCACCCAGGGCGGGGCAUUCCUGAGAAGGUUCUGGAACAGAGAGGGAGGCUGAGCUGAAUCCUGAUGAAGAAAGCACUUAGCCAGGCUGGAGUGGGUUGUGAGAAGAUCCAAGGGACGGGGGCACCCAGCUUGGGUCGAGACUACAUUUCCAACAGUGGGAGUUCAGGGUCAGAAGGUAGAAUGACAACUACAGAAAACUUUAAAUAUCAGGUUUUCCCUCCAAGGAAAUCAACGUCCAUUGGCGUUCCCCUCCGCAGAGCAUGAGAGUCUUUCUAUCCCCACCUGCCCCUCCACCUGUGUUAUUAAAACUCACUUCCUCCACCUGUGCCAA